rnacentral:rRNA from 1 species
UACGUAGGUGGCAAGCGUUGUCCGGAAUUAUUGGGCGUAAAGUGUGCGCAGGUGGCCGCGCAAGUCGAGUGUGAAAUCCCCGGGCUUAACUUGGGAAUUGCGCUCGAAACUACGUGGCUCGAGUGUGGCAGAGGAAGGUGGAAUUCCACGUGUAGCGGUGAAAUGCGUAGAGAUGUGGAGGAACACCGAUGGCGAAGGCAGCCUUCUGGGCCAACACUGACGCUCAUGCACGAAAGCGUGGGGAGCAAACAGG